rnacentral:rRNA from 1 species
UACGUAGGGUGCAAGCGUUGUCCGGAAUUAUUGGGCGUAAAGAGCUCGUAGGCGGUUUGUCGCGUCUGCUGUGAAAAUCCAGGGCUUAACCCUGGACCUGCAGUGGGUACGGGCAGACUGGAGUGCGGUAGGGGAGAUCGGAAUUCCUGGUGUAGCGGUGAAAUGCGCAGAUAUCAGGAGGAACACCGGUGGCGAAGGCGGAUCUCUGGGCCGUAACUGACGCUGAGGCGCGAAAGCUAGGGGAGCAAACAGG